UAAAGGAAAAAAAUAGCGGAAUAGGUUUGAUGUUCGUGGAAGAGGGAAGAGAAGAAGAUAAUAGGGAAAGCCAGAAGGGAGGUGAGAAGGUAAUAGGAGAAGAAGGAAGAAUAGGGAAUAGAAGGAGGAGGAUAAGUGUGUCUCACCCUUCUGUUUCUCUUCUUCAGGUUCUCCGCGGCCCUGUUUCUCUUCUGCCCAGGUAAGCAAGACUCCGGCCCAAUUAUCUGACGCCACAGGUAUAAAGAUUUCUCCGGGCGAGGCAGCAGGUACACACACACACACACACACACAGGAUUGGUAAUGGGACUGGUGGAUAGGGGAAGGGUUGGUAAUGGGACAGGUGGAUAGGGGAAGGGUUGGUAAUGGGACUGGUGGAUAGCGGAAGGAUUGGUAAUGGGACUGGUGGAUAGGGGAAGGGUUGGUAAUGGGACUGGUGGAUAGGGGAAGGGUUGGUAAUGGGACUGGUGGAUAGGGGAAGGACUGGUAAUGGGACUGGUGGAUAGGGGAAGGAUUGGUAAUGGGACUGGUGGAUAGGGGAAGGGUUGGUAAUGGGACUGGUGGAUAGGGGAAGGGUUGGUAAUGGGACUGGUGGAUAGGGGAAGGAUUGGUAAUGGGACUGGUGGAUAGGGGAAGGGUUGGUAAUGGGACAGGUGGAUAGGGGAAGGGUUGGUAAUGGGACUGGUGGAUAGCGGAAGGAUUGGUAAUGGGACUGGUGGAUAGGUGAAGGGUUGGUAAUGGGACUGGUGGAUAGGGGAAGGGUUGGUAAUGGGACUGGUGGAUAGGGGAAAGACUGGUAAUGGGACUGGUGGAUAGGGGAAGGAUUGGUAAUGGGACUGGUGGAUAGGGGAAGGGUUGGUAAUGGGACUCGUGGAUAGGGGAAGGGUUGGUAAUGGGACUGGUGGAUAGGGGAAGGAUUGGUAAUGGGACUGGUGGAUAGGGGAAGGAUUGGUAAUGGGACUGGUGGAUAGGGGAAGAGUUGGUAAUGGGACUGGUGGAUAGGGGAAGGGUUGGUAAUGGGACUGGUGGAUAGUGGAAGGAUUGGUAAUGGGACUGGUGGAUAGGGGAAGGGUUGGUAAUGGGACUGGUGGAUAGGGGAAGGAUUGGUAAUGGGACUGGUGGAUAGGGGAAGGGUUGGUAAUGGGACUGGUGGAUAGGGGAAGGGUUGGUAAUGGGACUGGUGGAUAGGGGAAGGAUUGGUAAUGGGACUGGUUAAUAGGGGAAGGGUUGGUAAUGGGACAGGUGGAUAGGGGAAGGGUUGGUAAUGGGAGUGGUGGAUAGGGGAAGGAUU